rnacentral:rRNA from 1 species
GACAUAGGUCGCAAACGUUAUCCGGAAUUAUUGGGCGUAAAGGAUGCUUAGAUGGUUCAGUAAGUUACUGGUGGGAAAUCGAGGCCCAACCUCGUGGAAGUUAGUAAUACUGUUGAACUUGAGUGCAGGAGAGGUUAACGGAACUUCAUGUGGAGCGGUAAAAUGCGUAGAUAUAUGAAAGAACAUCAGUAUAGCGAAGGCAGUUAACUAUUCUGCUACUGACAUUGAGGCAUGAAAGCGUGGGGAGCAAAACGG